GUUUCAAUCCCUUGUAGGUAAGCUAAAAGC
rfam:Coprothermobacter proteolyticus DSM 5265, complete genome.